UGACAUUAAAAGUUGCACGUAGGUCCACUGUGGUUUUUCCAAUAUGAAUUAUUCCCUCGUUAGUAAGUGACUACUUCACCAGAUUGUAUUUUAGUAACCUUGGAGUUUUUCCCUUGAGAAAAAUAGGAACUGGUUUCCAAAACUAAUGAACCACUAAAUAUUUGCACAGCUAGGUGUACAUAAAUAUACAGAGUGAAAUUGAAACACACACAGACACUGAUCUCACAAGUUGUCAAACUAUCUUACACGCAUUACACAGAUUACAAGGGAUCCUCAUCCCAAACUCCAAAGGUACAAGAACAGUCAUAAAUUAAAGGCAGAUUCUCAUAGUUGUCAGAAAUAACACGAAGAUUCUCAUGAAUGUCUAUAUACGCAGUUGUACAACCACAAAUAAGCAAAAAGUUUUGCUCCUGUAGUACACAGACGUAAAAUAAUUCAUACACAUUUAAUUCGCCAAUAUAUUAAUACCCACACAAGCACAUCGAACUUCAAACCCAGCAGAAAAAUAAAAAGUUGGUAAUACAUUUGAUAGCAUAAUGUAAAUGCAAAUAUAUGAGCAUCUAAGUGUCUACGGAUUCGUGUGUCAAGCAGUGUUAUUGACCAGACUGACCACACCGGUCGGUUCAUCUGGAUCCACGUGAUAGUAUCGACAACUCAGUGCUCUUAAAAUUCUGUAAUUAGCGUCCAAACAAGAACUCCAUUUCCAGAAAUAACAGGAGCAAUUAUAAUUUUGAAUGAUACAACACAGGCAAAAAUGGAAGCAUGUUUAAUCAUGCUGUUUACUUUGAAAUGGAAAACAGAAAAAACCGAAUGAAAGUUCCCCGGUGCAGUGCCAAUUAAGAUCAUUCUAAUGUUUUCAUUGAAGAAGCUGCGUAAGAGUUUGUUUAAUAUUGACAGUAGAUUUAUCUCAAAUUCACAAACUCACAAACUGAAGAAAACAUGUAAACCAGGAAAAUGAAAGAUGGAGAGAAAAGAGAUAAGAAAUCAACACAACCUUACAAAUAGGACCGUCUCUGACAUUAAAAGUUGCACGUAGGUCCACUGUGAUUUUUCCAAUAUGAAUUAUUCCCUCGUUAGUAAGUGACUACUUCACCAGAUUGUAUUUUAGUAACCUCGGAGUUUUUCCCUUGAGAAAAAUAGGAACUGGUUUCCGAAACUAAUGAACCACUAAAUAUGAAUAUACAAGCAGUGAAAUAUAUUUGCACAGCUAGGUGUACAUAAAUAUACAGAGUGAAAUUGAAACACGCACACACUGAUCUCACAUGUUGUCAAACUAUCUUACACGCAUUACACAGAUUACAAGGGAUCCUCAUCCCAAACUCCAAAGGUACUAGAACAGUCAUAAAUUAAAGGCAGAUUCUCAUAGUUGUCAGAAAUAACACGAAGAUUCUCAUGAAUGUCUAUAUACGCAGUUGUACAACCACAAAUAAGCAAAAAGUUUUGCUCCUGUAGUACACAGACGUAAAAUAAUUCACACACAUUUAAUUCGCCAAUAUAUUAAUACCCACACAAGCACAUUGAACUUCAAACCCAGCAGAAAAAUAAAAAGUCGGUAAUAUAUUUGAUAGCAUAAUGUAUAUGCAAAUAUAUGAGCAUCUAUGUGUAUACGGAUUCGUGUGUCAAGCAGCAUUAUUGACCAGACUGAUCAGACUGGUCGGUUCAUCUGGAAAAAAUAAGAACUAAUCCUAUUAUAGGCAGAAAUUAGCAACCUUUUGAACUCACCCAAGUUAAUUUCAAGCAGUGUUUUUGGGUAAAAACCAUGUUAAUUUCAUUCUAAUAUUUUCAUUUUCCAAGGUUGAGUUCCAUUUUUUUAGAUUGGAACCUGAACUUUGUCCAGGAAAGGGAACUCCUUUGUCACCGAUUUUUAGAACAGCUCCAGUGGCUCAUUUAUGCUAAGUCUAGUCACUUGGGCUGCUGUACCUUUUGAUUAUGGUAUUAUAUUGUCAGAUCCAUACAUAGGCAUAAUCUCUGAUGCUUGGACUCUUCGACAUGGUUGUAGUACCCGUGUCAGACAUGACAUGGGUAUGGAUAUGUGUCCGAUCCUCCAACUUUUAACCGGACACUUCACCAUUCUUUGCUUCUUUUUCUUUUCCUUUUCUUUCAUUUUUACUCUUUAUAAACCUAGCGCCACCUCCAAGAGGGUGAAGAAAGGCAACGACACUAGAUUUUCCCUUCUUAUUUCUUUUGCUUUCCCUUUUCUUUUUUUUCCCCUUCUUUCCUCUCUCUGUAUCGGUGGUUUAGAAUUUUGUUUGUAUAAAAUGAAAAUGAAUUUCACAUAAUACUAUAUAACGCUCCACCAGAUCCAAAUUGUUUUCAAGUCCUUCAUUUUCUAUUUUAUAUAACAUUUAGUAAUUAACUUCUCAUAAUUGAAAAUUAAACCCCAAAAUUAUAUUUUAUUCGUCUUAACCCCUUAUUCAAUAUUAUUUCCUUCUUUGUGAACAAUUGAUUGUUGGUCUAUUCAAAAUAACAUCUUGAGUUAGUAAAAAAUUUGAAGUUUGAAAGAUGUAUCCACGUACCCGUGUCCAAAAUUUAGAUUCUUUUUAAGCGUAGUUCAAAGAAAUUCUAUUUGCCUAAUAUAUCCAUCAGUAUAUAUUGUUUUGUUGCUUACGGUUGCACUCAUGCCAUGCACACUAAUAUUCUUAAAAUUUCUAAUUAAUCUUUGAAAAUGCAGUGGGAUCACAAUCUUGUGAGCCUGACAAUCUACAUUUUUUGACCGUAGAGAGACUGCGUGCUCUUCUGAAGGAGAAAGGCCUUCCUGUGAGGGGGAGAAAGGCAAGUACCUUGUUAUUUCUAUUGUAGCCAUAAUAGUUCAUACGUAAGUUUAAUGUUGCAAUACCUCUGAUUACGGUAUUAAUUAUUAUUUUUCCAGACUAAUCAACAGAUUCGAUUUAGUUUUGAGAUUAGCAUGCAUAGGUUGAUUCUACUGUAUAUCCAUUCAGUUUUGAGGGUACUCAUGUUUGCAUUUCCAUGGACAGGAUGUGUUGAUUUCCCGCUUGAGAGCUGCGAAUGGCUAAGAUGCAACCUAAGCAAUCGAAGUGGCUGAUUGCUCUUCAAUUCUGUUCAACAUUCUGUUUCAGAAAUGUAGGUUUUGAUUAGUGAUAAUAGACACUCGUAUUAUCUUAAAAACACUUCAUUUUGUCUGUUUAUGAAUUGAUCAUAGUACUUUCAUUAACAUGGCGUUUUCUUAGGAUAAUUACAUCUUCCAAUGUAUUCGAAUAGCAAAUGCAGGAUCUCUUGUUUCCACUCAUGCACUUUGUAUGGUAUUGUUCGGCUUGUUAGGAAUAAUCUCUCUUGAUUAUUUGAACAUUGGCCCGUUCGGCAGAAUUUUAGCUUUUACUUCUACAUCUUGUAGAAUAACUUUUCCAGAAAACUACCUUAAUACGAAAGCUUCGUUUUCCUGCAGAUUUUUAAAGGAAGCUCCACUGGAUCAAAUUCAUUUAAAAGCUCUUUUAAUUACGAGAAAUACUUUUAUAUAAAUAACCAACCGAUCAAAAGCAGCUUUUGAAGUUGAUAUAAUUUGAUUCAAUAUUGUAUUUAAUCUAGAUAUUGUUUUAUUUAAAUUUGUGUCUAGGCGAAAUUAAGUUACAACUUAUUUUUCAGAAAAUUAAGUUUCUUAAUUUUUAUCCUUACAAAUAGGACCUUCUCUGACAUUAAAAGUUGCACGUAGGUCCACUGUGGUUUUUCCAAUAUGAAUUAUUCCCUCGUUAGUAAGUGACUACUUCACCAGAUUGUAUUUUAGUAACCUUGGAGUUUUUCCCUUGAGAAAAAUAGGAACUGGUUUCCAAAACUAAUGAACCACUAAAUAUUUGCACAGCUAGGUGUACAUAAAUAUACAGAGUGAAAUUGAAACACACACAGACACUGAUCUCACAAGUUGUCAAACUAUCUUACACGCAUUACACAGAUUACAAGGGAUCCUCAUCCCAAACUCCAAAGGUACAAGAACAGUCAUAAAUUAAAGGCAGAUUCUCAUAGUUGUCAGAAAUAAC
rnacentral:lncRNA from 1 species